AGUGAACGCUGGCGGUAGGCCUAACACAUGCAAGUCGAACGGCAGCACAGUAAGAGCUUGCUCUUACGGGUGGCGAGUGGCAGACGGGUGAGGAAUACAUCGGAAUCUACUUUUUCGUGGGGGAUAACGUAGGGAAACUUACGCUAAUACCGCAUACGACCUACGGGUGGAAGCAGGGGAUCUUCGGACCUUGCGCGAUUGAAUGAGCCGAUGUCGGAUUAGCUAGUUGGCGGGGUAAAGGCCCACCAAGGCGACGAUCCGUAGCUGGUCUGAGAGGAUGAUCAGCCACACUGGAACUGAGACACGGUCCAGACUCCUACGGGAGGCAGCAGUGGGGAAUAUUGGACAAUGGGCGCAAGCCUGAUCCAGCCAUACCGCGUGGGUGAAGAAGGCCUUCGGGUUGUAAAGCCCUUUUGUUGGGAAAGAAAAGCAGCAGGUUAAUACCCCGCUGUUCUGACGGUACCCAAAGAAUAAGCACCGGCUAACUUCGUG
rnacentral:rRNA from 1 species